rnacentral:rRNA from 1 species
AACGAACGCUGGCGGCAUGCCUAACACAUGCAAGUCGAACGAGACCUUCGGGUCUAGUGGCGCACGGGUGCGUAACGCGUGGGAACCUGCCUUUAGGUUCGGAAUAACUCAGAGAAAUUUGAGCUAAUACCGGAUGAUGUCUUCGGACCAAAGAUUUAUCGCCUUUAGAUGGGCCCGCGCUGGAUUAGCUAGUUGGUGGGGUAAAGGCCUACCAAGGCGACGAUCCAUAGCUGGUCUGAGAGGAUGAUCAGCCACACUGGGACUGAGACACGGCCCAGACUCCUACGGGAGGCAGCAGUGGGGAAUAUUGGACAAUGGGCGAAAGCCUGAUCCAGCAAUGCCGCGUGAGUGAUGAAGGCCUUAGGGUUGUAAAGCUCUUUUACCCGAGAUGAUAAUGACAGUAUCGGGAGAAUAAGCUCCGGCUAACUCCGUG